rnacentral:lncRNA from 1 species
UAUACCAAGCUUGGCUACGCAGGCAACACUGAGCCCCAGUUCAUUAUUCCUUCAUGUAUUGCCAUCAGAGAGUCAGCAAAGGUAGUUGACCAAGCCCAAAGGAGAGUGUUGAGGGGAGUUGAUGACCUUGACUUUUUCAUAGGAGAUGAAGCCAUCGAUAAACCUACAUAUGCUACAAAGUGGCCGAUACGACAUGGAAUCAUUGAAGACUGGGAUCUUAUGGAAAGGUUCAUGGAGCAAGUGGUUUUUAAAUAUCUUCGAGCUGAACCUGAGGACCAUUAUUUUUUAAUG